CAACGAGCCCCUGCCCGCCCCGGCGCGGGACGGCAGCCCCAGCCCCUCCUCGGCCGGCUCCGGGCCGCGCUGCCCGGCGGGGCCGGCCCAGCCCCGGAAGGUGGGUUCAUUUCCGGCCCGCGCGGCGCGCUGGAGCGGCGGUGGCGGUGCGGCGCCUUCGCCGGGAGCCUGGAAGACUUUCGGGCCGGGACGUGCGGCGGCGCGCUGGAUUUGAGCGUCGAUGCCGCGGAUGUAACAUGAGAGCAGCAGCAGGAUGUAGAGCACAAGCUGUUUAAACAACGCUUGGAUAAAGCUGCCAAUCGUGUGACUCUAGAAGCCGAGAGACAUGGUCCUUUACACACUUCCUCACAGGAGCUUGUGUCGUCAUCAGAGGCAUAUUUACAGUCGCAGGACUCAUUGAUUCCUUGAUCUAUCACUCAGCACGUGCCAUCCAGAAGAAAAUUGAACUAGGGAAGACAACAUAAAUAAGCAAGGAGCUCACUCCACAAAAUAAUCCCCAACCCUCUUUAAGGAGAACUAAACGGAUUUUUAGAAACACAAGUGAUCUUCUGACUACACAAGAGAAGAGGUUUGGAAUUACCAGGAGGAGGUGGAGUAUGGAAAACCUCAUGGGAGGCCCCGUGCUGAUCCUGCUGAUGACUAGCGUGUCCACUGGAAACAGAGCCAAAGAAAACUGGGCAGAUGAAGCUUUCCACUGGAGCAAAAGAGAAUUUACAGGCUACCUACUUACAAGGACAUAUGAAGAAUUUCAUUUGUUUCUGGCUUCCAGACCCCACGCAGCAGUUGCUCAAAGUUAGACAUCAAGGCAACACCAGAACCUGCAAAACAGUAGAAGCAAACAGCUAGAACUGCCACACCAGAAGAAAGUUCCGAUGCCUCUUCCAGAUCCCCAAGGGACAAGGAUGACCGAAGGGGAACAAAAAGGUCAUGACAUUCUUCCCAAAUUUAAAAGAAGUUAGCCUAAAAGAGAAGAGUGGGGCAAAUGCCUUCCAGACUUUCUGUAGAGUGUUUCCCAAGACAGGGAAAGGGCAUUUGCCUCCGUUCCUUUUACUGAUGCUCAAGUGCUUGUUGCAAAUAAAAGCUAAAAGAAAACUGCCUGGGCUGUUAGAACAUUGAUAGAACCCCCCUGAAAAGCUACAGGCGAGGCCAGAGACAGUAGAACAUGGGAGGAAGAACAAAGAAUUCCAGAAUUCUACACCCGUAUUUCAUAGUUUUUCAUGUUCUCCAGUUCUUCAUGCCUCUGUUAACAUUAGAUGACGGCUCAACUGACAGCCCUCCUGGCAAGUAUGACUAACUGUCGGUGUUCUGGGAAACCUGACUGAUUGAGGCCAGCUGACUGCAGCCACUAACCAGCCUGCUGAGGGAUGUGGUCACCUUAAGCUUCCCUCGCAGAUUCUCCCAUCCCUCCCCACAGAGCUCAGAUUAACAGUAUGUCAUGUUUCACCUUUGACCCAUCCAACAGCCAUCAUAACGAACCACCCGUGGUGGUAACGGUGAUAAGCAUGGUGGACCCCAGCUGCAAUUUUGCGAACUCUCACCACCUCUUUCAUCGCCACAAAGAUAAGCUUCACAGGCAGAAAGCUAACGCACUUGUAGAAGAGGUUCAUGGGACAGAAGAAUAUCAAAUACCUGCAAGAAAACCACGAAGAGUUUAAGGACCCGUUUGUUUGUCCUGAUCUGGGACAUACAGAGAGGACUGAUCCAGAGCUCUGUAGUGUUGGGGAGAAGGAAACACUGGUUCUGUCACACAAUAGCAUGUACAACCCGUACGCACCCACGAAAUUAAACUUGGAGUAGUUAUGGUUAAUUUGCGCACAUUUCACUAACAAAACAAAUAAAAUGCCCCCAGAUUUUCAGUGUGUGCCACUCCUCCACUGUAUGUGGUAUCAGUGCAGCACACGCUGCACUUGCAUCUUGGCAUAGUUCUGCUGCAGCAGCUAUGAAUAGAAAUGCCCAGCAACUGGACUGCACCCAACCCAUAUCAUCAAAGCGUUAAGACAACUGGUCAGAGAAACUGGAAACUAGGAGUACAAAAGACUCAAAGGCUACAUCACCCCACCCCUUCUUUCCCCAGUUAAUCCAAGCAAGAUAAUACAAGUGUGUCACACAAACAGAAUACCUCCCUUCACACCCGAAGGUCUUGUACACAGCCAGCGGUGUCUCACGCUUAAUAAAUCAGGUGAAGUGCAAAAGACUCACCAGACUGCUGUGGCCAGGAUGAUGCUGGAGUUAUUACUGAAGUAAUCAAUAGGUGGUUCUCCAAGUAACAGAUCAGCAAGUAUGUAACUUCCAAAGCAGUGGAGCAUAGCGCAAAGCCAGGAGGCAAAAGGGCUCUUACGAGACAUCUCCACGGCUCCUGUGAAGCAAAUUCUAAAUGAGAAGAGGAAUUCGGCAAAUAGGUAGAAACUUCAAGACACUCUAUGACAGAAGCUUGUGGUGCAUGUUCUCCAACAAAAUAAGUCAAAAGAAAAGUGCUUGUAAAACAAGAUACAAAAAUGUGUAUUCUCUGAAACCUGAACAAGUACCAGAUACUGUCCAGAAAUGAUACGCCUGAUCAUAGCUUGCAGGCCCCCCUUAAAGUUCCGGAUGAACUGAGUCAUUAGAAGUUUAUGAAUUGGCUCGGUUUCUCUCCUGUAUUUGCUGCGACUUGCUGCAAUCAGAACGAGCAACUUUUCCCUUGAAAACAUCUUUUUACAGUCUAAAAAUAAAAUGCAUACUAGUACCAUUCUCUCCAUUGCUUCAACCUAGGUGCCCUCUAGAAUUCAUGAACAAUCUGUUCAGCUCUUUCAUUCAUAAGAUAACCUGCAAAAAUAGAACAGUAAUUCUUAAUCUUUAUUUGAAAGAAAAGGAUUUGAGGAUUUUUCCCUGCUCCUCUACUACUUUGGAAAUGGCUUCUGAAAAUACAACUAGUUAUUAAAACAGUGUCACUCCUUGGUAAUACA